rnacentral:rRNA from 1 species
UAUGAAGGGGGCUAGCGUUGUUCGGAAUUACUGGGCGUAAAGCGCACGUAGGCGGAUUGUUAAGUGAGGGGUGAAAUCCCAGGGCUCAACCCUGGAACUGCCUUUCAUACUGGCAAUCUAGAGUUCGAGAGAGGUGAGUGGAAUUCCGAGUGUAGAGGUGAAAUUCGUAGAUAUUCGGAGGAACACCAGUGGCGAAGGCGGCUCACUGGCUCGAUACUGACGCUGAGGUGCGAAAGCGUGGGGAGCAAACAGG